rnacentral:snRNA from 1 species
UACCUGGCAGGGGAGAUACUAUGAUCAUAGAG